rnacentral:misc_RNA from 1 species
GUAGGUGAACCUGCGGAAGGAUCAUUAACACAAAAAUCUUAACACUUACCUGGGGUUCCCCAAUCCCAGGUAUUUCAACCCCCCUUUUUAAAGCGAACACUGUUUGGGAACGCACGUACACACGCCGUUCCCGCUUUUUCUUAUUACAACAAACAAACCCAAUUGAAACAUUCUGACUGAAAACAUUGUUCUACCGUGAAAGCGAUAGAAUACACUAUGAAUUGUGAAAAAAAACAACUCUUAGCAACGG